CAUAGCCGCGGGAAUACGGAGGGUGCAAGCGUUAAUCGGAAUUACUGGGCGUAAAGCGCACGCAGGCGGUCUGACAAGUCAGAUGUGAAAUCCCCGGGCUUAACCUGGGAACUGCAUUUGAAACUGUCAGGCUGGAGUCUUGUAGAGGGGGGUAGAAUUCCAGGUGUAGCGGUGAAAUGCGUAGAGAUCUGGAGGAAUACCGGUGGCGAAGGCGGCCCCCUGGACAAAGACUGACGCUCAGGUGCGAAAGCGUGGGGAGCAAACAGGAUUAGAUACCCGCGUAGUCCCUGUCUCUUAUCCA
rnacentral:rRNA from 1 species